GACGAACGCUGGCGGCGUGCUUAACACAUGCAAGUCGAACGGAAAGGCCCUGCUUUUGUGGGGUGCUCGAGUGGCGAACGGGUGAGUAACACGUGAGUAACCUGCCCUUGACUUUGGGAUAACUUCAGGAAACUGGGGCUAAUACCGGAUAGGAGCUCCUGCUGCAUGGUGGGGGUUGGAAAGUUUCGGCGGUUGGGGAUGGACUCGCGGCUUAUCAGCUUGUUGGUGGGGUAGUGGCUUACCAAGGCUUUGACGGGUAGCCGGCCUGAGAGGGUGACCGGCCACAUUGGGACCAGGGUAGGGCCCGCAUCCUACGGGAGGCAGCAGUGGGGAAUAUUGCACAAUGGGCGGAAGCCUGAUGCAGCAACGCCGCGUGCGGGAUGACGGCCUUCGGGUUGUAAACCGCUUUCGCCUGUGACGAAGCGUGAGUGACGGUAAUGGGUAAAGAAGCACCGGCUAACUACGUG
rnacentral:rRNA from 1 species